rnacentral:rRNA from 1 species
GACGAACGCUGGCGGCGUGCUUAACACAUGCAAGUCGAACGAUGAAGCUAGAGCUUGCUCUGGUGGAUUAGUGGCGAACGGGUGAGUAACACGUGAGUAACCUGCCCCGCACUCCGGGAUAACUGCUGGAAACGGUAGCUAAUACCGGAUAUGACCAAUGAAGGCAUCUUCUGUUGGUGGAAAGAAUUUCGGUUCGGGAUGGACUCGCGGCCUAUCAGCUUGUUGGUGAGGUAACGGCUCACCAAGGCGACGGCGGGUAGCCGGCCUGAGAGGGUGAUCGGCCACACUGGGACUGAGACACGGCCCAGACUCCUACGGGAGGCAGCAGUGGGGAAUAUUGCACAAUGGGCGCAAGCCUGACGCAGCAACGCCGCGUGAGGGACGACGGCCUUCGGGUUGUAAACCUCUUUUAGUAGAGAAGAAGCGAAAGUGACGGUACCUGCAGAAAAAGCACCGGCUAACUACGUGCCAGCCGCCGCCGUAA